rnacentral:lncRNA from 1 species
AUAAGCUACAUGGAGAAAGGUAGAUAUGAAACCUGCUAUUGAGAGAUGAGGAUGGAUUGGAUAGUGGCAAGAAAUUUCAGUAAAGGCAAUGACAAUAGCAAAGGUGUAAACAGAGAAAGAGCAAAGCAAGUUCAGAAAUUCACAAGGAAAUAUGUUAAUGAAGUGUGGUGAUGGGACUCAUAAAGAGAAACAUUGACCAAGGCAGGUUCAGAUUAGUGUUGAAUUCCAAGUUGAAUUACAAAAUUUCCUGUAGUAAAUAAACAUGUUUUGAGUAAGUAACAAAAUGAAAAAAAUGUGUAUUAGAAAGAAAGUUUAAUCAAGCAAAGGUAUGAA